UUUUUGAGCCAAAAGCCCCAGAUCUGAAACUCUAGCAGUGACGCCAGUGACUUCUGUCCGGCGACCCCUCACCCCCCUCCAUUCCCAAAUUUUUUGAGGUGUUGUUGGUUUUAAAAAAAAUCAUUUUUUUCACUUCUUAUGCUGUUUAUAAGGAGACCCUUUUAUUAAAGUUUCUAACUUCACUCAUUCUUGAGGGUGUCCUUUGCUAUUGAGGAGACCAAUUUUUCUCUGAAUUGAAGCAAUAUUUAUUAGUAGUAGAAUUUGGGAAUCCUGAAACUGAAGAGAAUUGAUUGGCUAAACAGUAAAAAGUGGGUUUCCUUACUUUCAAUUUUUGUUUUUGAGUUUGUUUGGCUGAAAGUGGCGCAGUGAUUUACUGAGCUUUUGAUGGAUCUAGGGUUUUGUUAGACUUGAGCUUUUAAAAUUUCUGUAUAGCUAGCAUCACUUUUCUGCUUUUCUUUUCUUCCUAUUCCCUUCUGCUUUUUGUGGGUGUGUGUGGGUGUGUCCUGUUUUCUUGGACAGGUGCCUUAUUUUUCCGGCGGGGAUUUCCGGCAAGCUACAGUAAUCCCGGCGAGUCCUGUUCAGAUUUUCGGCAGGACGCAGCAGAACUACCUGUU
rnacentral:lncRNA from 1 species